rnacentral:lncRNA from 10 species
AAGAAAGAAAGAAAGAAAGAAAGAAAGAAAGAAAGAAAGAAAGAGAGAGUCUUGCACUUUUGCCCAGGCUGGAAUGCAGUGGCACACUCACGGCUCACUGCAACCUCUGCCUCCCAGGCUCAAGCAAUCCUCCCACCCCAGCCUCCUGAGUAGCUGGGACUACAGGUGUUCACCACCACACUCAGCUGAUUUUUGUAUUUUUUGUAGAGACGGGGUCUCACUGUGUUGCCCAGCUGG